rnacentral:rRNA from 1 species
UACGUAGGGCGCAAGCGUUGUCCGGAAUUAUUGGGCGUAAAGAGCUCGUAGGCGGCUUGUCACGUCGGUUGUGAAAGCCCGGGGCUUAACCCCGGGUCUGCAGUCGAUACGGGCAGGCUAGAGUUCGGUAGGGGAGAGUCGGAAUUCCUGGUGUAGCGGUGAAAUGCGCAGAUAUCAGGAGGAACACCGGUGGCGAAGGCGGGUCUCUGGGCCGGAACUGACGCUGAGGAGCGAAAGCGUGGGGAGCGAACAGG